UAAUUACAUGGUAUGGAUGGUUCCCUCGCGUCGAGGUGGGGCGAGGGAGUAAAUGGGAAUGUGACGGGGCGGACCCAAUCCGGGCGCCCUUAUCGCAGCCGACCCCGCGACUGUAGAACGGUCAGGGUCCGCUAUCGGGCUUGAUCCUCCAAUUCUCAGCGGAACUGCAUGGGGCGGUUCGCGGAACUGGAUGGCAGGCCGGAAAAGCCACUGGCGUGGCAUCGUGAUCAGCCGGGCUGGACGCCUCUUCUUCUACGAAUCGUCCGCCUUUCACGAGGCCGCAGAGACUGCCGCAUUCAUCGGAAUGCGCACAGCUUCGGACGCCGGGAAGGCGAGGCGGACCCGUUCGGGCCCAGGCACGUCACCCUAUGUGACGCUGCCUGAUGCGCGUGACGCCGUGAGCCAGGAGACCUGCCAUCCGUCAGGGCAUUCC
rnacentral:ncRNA from 1 species